rnacentral:rRNA from 1 species
AGAGUUUGAUCCUGGCUCAGGAUGAACGCUGGCGGUAUGCUUAACACAUGCAAGUCGAACGGACUCUUCGGAGUUAGUGGCGGACGGGUGAGUAACGCGUGAGAAUCUGCCUACAGAUUGGGGACAACGUCGGGAAACUGACGCUAAUACCGAAUGUGCCGAGAGGUGAAAGAUUUAUUGUCUGUAGAUGAGCUAGCGUCUGAUUAGCUAGUUGGGGCGGUAACGGCGCACCAAGGCGACGAUCAGUAACUGGUCUGAGAGGAUGACCAGUCACACUGGGACUGAGACACGGCCCAGACUCCUACGGGAGGCAGCAGUGGGGAAUUUUCCGCAAUGGGCGAAAGCCUGACGGAGCAAUACCGCGUGCGGGAGGACGCUUUUUGGAGUGUAAACCGCUUUUCUCAAGGAAGAUGAUGACGGUACUUGAGGAAUCAGCAUCGGCUAACUUCGUGCCAGCAGCCGCGGUAAUACGAGGGAUGCAAGCGUUAUCCGGAAUUAUUGGGCGUAAAGCGUUCGUAGGUGGCUAAUUAAGUCUGUUGUUAAAACGUGGAGCUUAACUCCAUAUCGGCAAUGGAAACUGGUUGGCUAGAGUAUGGUAGGGGUAACAGGAAUUCCCAGUGUAGCGGUGAAAUGCGUAGAUAUUGGGAAGAACACCAGCGGCGAAAGCGUGUUACUGGGCCAUUACUGACACUGAGGGACGAAAGCUAGGGGAGCGAAAGGGAUUAGAUACCCCUGUAGUCCUAGCCGUAAACGAUGAGAACUAGGUGUUGCGCGUAUCGACCCGCGCGGUGCCGUAGCUAACGCGUUAAGUUCUCCGCCUGGGGAGUACGCACGCAAGUGUGAAACUCAAAGGAAUUGACGGGGGCCCGCACAAGCGGUGGAGUAUGUGGUUUAAUUCGAUGCAACGCGAAGAACCUUACCAGGGUUUGACAUCCUCGGAACUUACUAGAGAUAGUUUGGUGCCUUCGGGAACCGAGAGACAGGUGGUGCAUGGCUGUCGUCAGCUCGUGUCGUGAGAUGUUGGGUUAAGUCCCGCAACGAGCGCAACCCACGUUUUUAGUUGCCAGCAUUAAGUUGGGCACUCUAGAGAGACUGCCGGUGACAAACCGGAGGAAGGUGUGGAUGACGUCAAGUCAGCAUGCCCCUUACAUCCUGGGCUACACACGUACUACAAUGCUACGGACAAAGGGCAGCGAGCCAGCAAUGGGCGGCAAAUCCCAUAAACCGUAGCUCAGUUCAGAUUGCAGGCUGCAACUCGCCUGCAUGAAGGCGGAAUCGCUAGUAAUCGCAGGUCAGCAUACUGCGGUGAAUACGUUCCCGGGCCUUGUACACACCGCCCGUCACACCAUGGGAGUUGGUCACGCCCGAAGUGGUUACCCUAACCGUAAGGAGGGGGACCCCUAAGGCA